CCUACGGGUGGCAGCAGUGGGGAAUAUUGCACAAUGGGCGCAAGCCUGAUGCAGCCAUGCCGCGUGUGUGAAGAAGGCCUUCGGGUUGUAAAGCACUUUCAGCGGGGAGGAAGGCGGUGAGGUUAAUAACCUCAUCGAUUGACGUUACCCGCAGAAGAAGCACCGGCUAACUCCGUGCCAGCAGCCGCGGUAAUACGGAGGGUGCAAGCGUUAAUCGGAAUUACUGGGCGUAAAGCGCACGCAGGCGGUCUGUCAAGUCGGAUGUGAAAUCCCCGGGCUCAACCUGGGAACUGCAUUCGAAACGGGCAGGCCAGAGUCUUGUAGAGGGGGGUAGAAUUCCAGGUGUAGCGGUGAAAUGCGUAGAGAUCUGGAGGAAUACCGGUGGCGAAGGCGGCCCCCUGGACAAAGACUGACGCUCAGGUGCGAAAGCGUGGGGAGCAAACAGGAUUAGAUACCCUAGUAGUC
rnacentral:rRNA from 1 species